rnacentral:rRNA from 1 species
UUUCCGGUUGAUCCUGCCGGAGGCCAUUGCUAUUGGAGUCCGAUUUAGCCAUGCUAGUCGAGCGGGCUCAGACCCGCGGCGAAAAGCUCAGUGACACGUGGCCAAACUACCCUGUGGAGACGGACAACCUCGGGAAACUGAGGCUAACCCGUCACACCGCUCCUACGCUGGAAUGCCGGGAGCCCGAAACGCUUCGGCGCCACAGGAUGUGGCUGCGGCCGAUUAGGUUGAUGGUGGGGUAACGGCCCACCAUGCCGAUAAUCGGUACGAGUUGUGAGAGCAAGAGCUCGGAGACGGUAUCUGAGACAAGAUACCGGGCCCUACGGGGCGCAGCAGGCGCGAAACCUUUACACUGCACGAGAGUGCGAUAAGGGGACUCCAAGUGCGAGGGCAUACAGUCCUCGCUUUUCUGAACCGUAAGGUGGUUCAGGAACAAGUGCUGGGCAAGACCGGUGCCAGCCGCCGCGGUAAUACCGGCAGCACGAGUGAUGGCCAAUCUUAUUGGGCCUAAAGCGUCCGUAGCCGGCCGAGCGGGUCCGUCGGGAAAUCCGCGUGCUCAACGCGCGGGCGUCCGGCGGAAACCACUCGGCUUGGGGCCGGAAGACUCGAGGGGUACGUCUGGGGUAGGAGUGAAAUCCCGUAAUCCUGGACGGACCGCCGAUGGCGAAAGCACCUCGAGAAGACGGACCCGACGGUGAGGGACGAAAGCCAGGGUCUCGAACCGGAUUAGAUACCCGGGUAGUCCUGGCCGUAAACGAUGUUCGCUAGGUGUGGCGUCGACUACGAGUCGGCGCUGUGCCGCAGGGAAGCCGCUAAGCGAACCGCCUGGGAAGUACGUCCGCAAGGAUGAAACUUAAAGGAAUUGGCGGGGGAGCACUACAACCGGAGGAGCCUGCGGUUUAAUUGGAGUCAACGCCGGAA